GAAGGAAGGAAGGAAGGAAGGAAGGAAGGAAGGAAGGAAGGAAGGAAGGAAGGGUGGGUUUAUUUUGGCUCGGGGCUCUGGCAGGGAAGGCGUGGCUACAGGCGCGAGUGCAUGUGUGUGUGUAUGUGUGUGUGUCUGUGUGUGUGUCUGUGUGUGUGUGUGUGCGUGUGGCAGUUGGUGAAGCUGCACCUACAGUCAGGAAACCGAGAGGAGAAACAAGGGCUCGCUCAGUUGCUGCUCACCUUCUGAGUCACUCCAGAGCCCCAGUCAUGGAACGAUGCCAGCCACAUCCCAGAGUCAAAACACUAAGAAAGAGCUGAGAAGCGGGCCAAUAAAGAGCCAAGAGAAAAAAAAUGGAGGAAGAGAGAAUUUCCACGGAAAUUACUGAGUGGAAAACCCUUUCCUUGAUCUCAUGGGCCCAUGCCAGCCUCGGGCCAACUUCGAAGUUAAAAGAAGGUGAAUAAUGGGUUUGAGAACUGUGUAAAGAGUGUAGCUGAUCAGAGGAAGACAUACGGAGCUGCAAAUGAAAGAGGUGAAGUAGGAUCUGGAUUUGGUGGAAAGCUCAUGGGGAGUUAUGUUCUGUAGUAAGGUUUGAGUGCUCGGUUAAAGACUGUAAAAUGUUACCAAUAAAAUGCAAAAUGGGCA
rnacentral:lncRNA from 1 species